rnacentral:rRNA from 1 species
AGUGAACGCUGGCGGUAGGCCUAACACAUGCAAGUCGAACGGCAGCACAGGAGAGCUUGCUCUCUGGGUGGCGAGUGGCGGACGGGUGAGGAAUACAUCGGAAUCUACUCUGUCGUGGGGGAUAACGUAGGGAAACUUACGCUAAUACCGCAUACGACCUACGGGUGAAAGCAGGGGACCUUCGGGCCUUGCGCGAUUGAAUGAGCCGAUGUCGGAUUAGCUAGUUGGCGGGGUAAAGGCCCACCAAGGCGACGAUCCGUAGCUGGUCUGAGAGGAUGAGCAGCAACACUGGAACGUGGGGACGGUCCGGACUCCUAAGGGAGGCAGCAGGGGGGAAUAUUGGACAAUGGGGUCGAGCCUGAUCCAGCCAUACCGCGUGGGUGAAGAAGGCCUUCGGGUUGUAAAGCCCUUUUGUUGGGAAAGAAAUCCAGCUGGCUAAUACCCGGUUGGGAUGACGGUACCCAAAGAAUAAGCACCGGCUAACCUCGUGCCAGCCGCCGCAGUAA